GUUUCCACUUAGUCCAAUAAAUAAUAUAGUAAUACAGCAUUUCGCCGCUCUUUUAAUUAGAUUUUUUUGGCCUUCGUCUCCGCUUCGUCUCGUCUCGUCUCACCACCGCCAGUCCACCACCAGCUCGCCGGAAUUCCCUCGCCGGAGACGCGCUGCGGAGGCAUACCUAGGAGGAGGAGCGAAGAAUGGGGAGGAGUGGAGGGGUGCCCGCUGCCGCGCUCGCUCGCUAGGGUUAGGUGCGCGCGUGCGUGAGGAUGGAGCUCGCUCUCUGAGCUCGCCUCGACCCCCCGCUGAGGGCAUUAGCUGUGCCGUCGCUGCGCGCUGGGUGAUCUGCCCUCCUGUGAGCUCCGGGGGAGCCGUUUUGGCUUGCGCCAUGGAGCCGUCUCUUCCGGGCGCGGCCACGGGUUGCGUGUUGCGGUAAGCUCCUGGCCGCGACAAGCUGAAGGGGAUCUCGACUGCCGAUCUGGUGCUAGCAGGAUGCCAGCUAGAAUCAUGGAGCAGAGGCACCACAUGCCCCCAUUCCACCUCCCCGUGGAGUCCGAAUCGUCUUCUCCCAUGUGAAAAAAGAUUCAUUGAUUUCGGGAAGUAGGUCUGCUGCAUCUUCUCCAGUCGAAAAGCCAAAGCCUAUUGGCCAAAGGUUGUGCAUCAAUUAGGACUUAUGGACCCAUACAAGUUGAUGGACCAGAAAACUCCCUUUGGUGAGCACAAGUUGUUGGGCCAUCAAAGGCAUGUUAACCUGCCGCCAACCCCCUGGAGGGCUGAUCAAGAUCCUCUACAACAACAUGAUUCGUUUUCGAAGCCGUUGGCUUUAUUUCCUAAUGCUAGAAAAGGACAUUUAAAUAUGACCCAAUAUGAGAAUGGACUUUUCUCAAGCUCCCUUCCAGACAUUUUUGACAACAAAUUGAGACUAACACCUAAGAAUGGCCUUGUUGGCCAGCCAGCUGAAAAGGAACUCAACCAUGCAGAUGACGAGCCUUUUGAAUUAACUCAGGAAAUUGAGGCACAAGUAAUUGGCAAUCUCCUCCCUGAUGAUGACGACUUAUUGUCAGGUGUUCUUUAUAAUGUGGGUCACCCUGCCCGUGCUAAUAACAUGGAUGACAUUGAUGACGAUAUAUUCUCUACUGGAGGUGGAAUGGAAUUGGAAGCUGAUGAAAAUAACAAAUUGCUAAAACUUAAUGGAGGUGCCAACACCGGUCAGACUGGGUUCAACGGCCUACUGUAUGGCGAAAACCCCUCGAGAACCCUUUCCAUUAGAAACAUUAAUACCAAUGUUGAGGAUACUGAAUUGAAACUCCUAUUUGAGCAAUAUGGAGACAUCCGAACACUUUACACUGCCUACAAACAUCAUGGUUUAGUGAUGAUAUCUUACUAUGAUAUAAGAUCGGCAGAACGUGCCAUGAAAGCGCUUCAAAGCAAGCCAUUCAGGCAGUGGAAACUUGAGAUACAUUACUCCAUCCCAACGGAGAACCCUUUGGAGAAUGACAAUAACCAGGGCACACUUGCAGUGAUUAACCUAGACCAGUCUGUAACUAAUGAUGAUCUUCGUCAUAUAUUUGGUGGCUAUGGUGAAAUCAAGGCGAUUCACGGGACAUCACAAAAUGGCCAUCACAAAUACGUUGAGUUUUUUGAUACCAGAGCAGCAGAAGCUGCACUUUAUGCUUUGAACAUGAGAGAUAUUGCAGGAAAGAAAAUCAGAUUAGAGCGCUGCUGCCUGGGCGACGGUAAACGUUUGACGCGGCACAGGCCUCCUGAGUUGGAGCACGAAGAGUAUGGUGCAUGCAAGCUAGGAAAUGCAAACAGUCUGCCGUCAACUUACUACGGUUCUGUCAACAUGGCUUCCAUGACUUCCGCUGGUCCUGAACAUGGGAUCUCUCGGGUUCUGCGUCCCAGAGUUCAGCCACCAAUACACCAAUUCAGGGAGGGAGCUUUCCUGGAUGUUCCCUCAAAUACUAUGCAAAGUAUAUCCUCUCCUGUUAGAAUUGCAACUGCAGUAACGCAUAACAACCGGUCGACUGUCGGCACAAUAUCACCCAUUGGAGUUAAGAGCAACUCUAGAACUGCUGAAGGAAUGGAGAGCAGACAUCUUUACAAAGUUGGUUCUGCUAACCUUGGUGGUCAUUCUUCUGGUCAUACCGAAGCACCCGGGUUUUCAAGAACUGGAAGCUGCCCCCUUCAUGGCCACCAAGUAGCGUGGAAUAAUUCAAAUAACUCCCAUCACCAUACCUCCUCUCCCAUGCUAUGGACGAACUCAGGAUCAUUUAUCAAUAAUAUACCAUCUCGACCUCCCAUGCAAGCGCAUGGAAUUUCAAGAACAUCUCGCAUGCUUGAAAAUGUCCUUCCAGUGAAUCAUCAUGUUGGAUCUGCACCAGCUGUCAAUCCAUCAAUUUUGGAUAGGAGAACUGGUUAUGUAGGGGAGCUGAUGGAAGCGCCAAGUUUCCACCCUGGGAGUGCUGGAAGCAUGGGUUUCUCUGGUAGUCCGCAUCUGCAUCAGUUGGAGCUCACUAGCAUGUUUCCUCAGAGUGGAGGGAACCAAGCCAUGUCCCCUGCACACAUUGGUGCUCGAUCUCCUCAGCAGAGGGGGCAUAUGUUUAAUGGAAGGGGUCAUAUAGGUCCCCCUCCAUCUUCAUUUGAUUCACCAGGUGAACGUGCAAGGAGCCGAAGAAACGAGUCAUGUGCUAAUCAAUCGGAUAAUAAAAGGCAGUAUGAGCUAGACAUUGAGCGUAUAGUCUGCGGCGAGGAUUCCCGGACUACUUUAAUGAUAAAGAACAUCCCAAACAAGUACACCUCUAAGAUGCUUUUGACCGCUAUUGAUGAAAAUCACAAGGGAACUUAUGAUUUUAUCUAUCUUCCAAUUGACUUUAAGAAUAAAUGCAACGUGGGCUACGCAUUCAUCAAUAUGAUAAGUCCUGAACAUAUUGUUCCAUUCUAUAAGGUGAGAGUGAGAUGUUACAAGUUAUGAAAUGGCGGCAGUGUAUUAGAUAAAGCUUCAUGUUGACAUUUUUAUAUGAUUUUUCACCCUCUGCUUUCCGUCGUCAUUUCUUUUUCCAUAACUACCUGUAUUACACUAUCAUGCUACAAUUGCAUGGAUUUUGGAUAUCGCAUGUCAGGUAGUCAGUAGUACCUUUACCAUUUCUGGUUUCACGCUCUAAGCAUUUUUUACCUAAUGCCAGUCGAUAAAUGAACAACAUACAUGCCUGUCUCUUUCAGAUAUUUCAUGGGAAAAGGUGGGAGAAAUUCAAUAGCGAGAAGGUAGCAUCACUUGCAUAUGCUAGAAUCCAAGGAAAAUCAUCUCUAAUUGCGCACUUCCAAAAUUCAAGUUUGAUGAAUGAGGAUAAACGCUGCCGCCCUAUACUUUUUCACUCAGAUGGUCCAAAUGCAGGGGAUCAAGAACCUUUUCCAAUGGGAACACACGUCCGUUCUAGGCCUGGGCGAUCCAGGGUUUUGAGCUGCGAAGAAAGUCACCGGGACACUCUGUCAUCUUCUGCCAACAAUUGGACUCCUUCCAACGGGGGCGGCCACGCUUCAGGCUACUCAAAGGAGGCUGACCCAACCACAGCUUGAAAGCUGAAGCACUAACCACAACAUCAACAUCCAACCUUUUGACAUUUGCAAUCCCAGUUUUCACAUUACCAUCCUUUCCCACCUCUUUUUGCUUGUGGUAUUUUCGGAGUCUGUAGCUAUUUAGUACUUUCUAUGUCGUGGGCUACCAGAGGCUUCCUAGAGGCUGCAAAUUUUGUCGCUGAGUAGAAGCAAGGGAACGGACGGAGGGUGCUCCCAGUUUCUCCUGAGCCUAUAUGCGUGUAUUAACUGAAGGCCGUGGAAGGCAAAACUCGUGGGGAGCUCUCUGAGAUUUUGGACUGUAAGGUGUAACCCAGCGUUGUACAGGGUUUCCUAGUAAGAAUGCAUGACGGGGACAGCCGACACUGUAUUGGUGCUGUUGUAUGAAAGGCAGGCUGUGCCAUGCAGCGUCUUUUGAAACUGUUUUGAUGUUAACUACUCCCUCCGUCCGCGAAUAAGUGUACAUCUAGCUUUUAUUCUAACUCAAAGUUUUGAAACUUUGACCAACUUUAUAGGUAAAAGUAGCAUCAUUUAUGGCACUAAAUUAGUAUCACUAGAUUCGUUCUGAAGUGUAUUUUUAUAAUAUACCAAUUUGAUGUCAUAUAAUCCUACUACUCUUUUUUAACAAGUUGGUCAAAAUUAUAAAACUUUGACUUAGGAAAAACGGUAGAAGUACACUUAUUCGAGGACGGAGGGAGUAGGAAACAUGCCCGUGUGUUGCAACGGGAGAAAUAAAAUCCUUGACAUAAUGAUAAUUGUU
rnacentral:rRNA from 1 species